AUGACCCUUGGGAGCGCGACUCCCAAGGGAAAAGUAGGUGGUGGUGAGGCAAAUGGUAAAACCAAGGUUGGGCCUUGCUGGAGGAGUUUUAUUCAAAGCGAACUGUCAAGGGGUCCCCAUAACACCCAACCGUGUAAGGAACGCAAAAUCAAGGAACAUAACACCGGUAUGACGGAAACUAGGGCGGCAAGAGUGGAACAAAACACCAGGCAUAAGGCCGAGCCUUCCACCCUUUACCAAGUAUAUAGAUGCAUUAAUAUAAAUAAGAGAUAUUGUGAUAUCCCAACAUAUCCAUGUUCCAACAUGGAACAAACUUCAUCUUCACCGGCAACUAGCAACGCUAUAAGAGGGGCUGAGCAAAGCGGUAACAUAGCCAAACAACGGUUUGCUAGAAAAGGUGGGUUAGAGGUUUGA
rnacentral:rRNA from 1 species